rnacentral:rRNA from 1 species
GGUAAGGCCUUUCGGGGUACACGAGCGGCGAACGGGUGAGUAACACGUGGGUGAUCUGCCCUGCACUUCGGGAUAAGCCUGGGAAACUGGGUCUAAUACCGGAUAUGACCUCCUAUCGCAUGGUGGGUGGUGGAAAGAUUUAUCGGUGCAGGAUGGGCCCGCGGCCUAUCAGCUUGUUGGUGGGGUAAUGGCCUACCAAGGCGACGACGGGUAGCCGACCUGAGAGGGUGACCGGCCACACUGGGACUGAGACACGGCCCAGACUCCUACGGGAGGCAGCAGUGGGGAAUAUUGCACAAUGGGCGAAAGCCUGAUGCAGCGACGCCGCGUGAGGGAUGACGGCCUUCGGGUUGUAAACCUCUUUCAGCAGGGACGAAGCGCAAGUGACGGUACCUGCAGAAGAAGCACCGGCUAACUACGUGCCAGCAGCCGCGGUAAUACGUAGGGUGCAAGCGUUGUCCGGAAUUACUGGGCGUAAAGAGUUCGUAGGCGGUUUGUCGCGUCGUUUGUGAAAACCAGCAGCUCAACUGCUGGCUUGCAGGCGAUACGGGCAGACUUGAGUACUGCAGGGGAGACUGGAAUUCCUGGUGUAGCGGUGAAAUGCGCAGAUAUCAGGAGGAACACCGGUGGCGAAGGCGGGUCUCUGGGCAGUAACUGACGCUGAGGAACGAAAGCGUGGGUAGCGAACAGGAUUAGAUACCCUGGUAGUCCACGCCGUAAACGGUGGGCGCUAGGUGUGGGUUCCUUCCACGGAAUCCGUGCCGUAGCU